rnacentral:rRNA from 1 species
AACGAACGCUGGCGGCAUGCCUAACACAUGCAAGUCGAACGAGACCUUCGGGUCUAGUGGCGCACGGGUGCGUAACGCGUGGGAACCUGCCCUUAGGUUCGGAAUAACUCCCCGAAAGGGGUGCUAAUACCGGAUAAUGUCGUCGGACCAAAGAUUUAUCGCCUUUGGAUGGGCCCGCGUUGGAUUAGCUAGUUGGUAGGGUAAAAGCCUACCAAGGCGACGAUCCAUAGCUGGUCUGAGAGGAUGAUCAGCCACACUGGGACUGAGACACGGCCCAGACUCCUACGGGAGGCAGCAGUGGGGAAUAUUGGACAAUGGGCGAAAGCCUGAUCCAGCAAUGCCGCGUGAGUGAUGAAGGCCUUAGGGUUGUAAAGCUCUUUUACCCGGGAUGAUAAUGACAGUACCGGGAUAAUAAGCUCCGGCUAACUCCGUG